AUUGAACGCUGGCGGCAUGCUUUACACAUGCAAGUCGAACGGUAACAGGCCGCAAGGUGCUGACGAGUGGCGAACGGGUGAGUAAUGCAUCGGAACGUGCCCAGUCGUGGGGGAUAACUACUCGAAAGAGUAGCUAAUACCGCAUACGAUCUAUGGAUGAAAGCGGGGGACCGUAAGGCCUCGCGCGAUUGGAGCGGCCGAUGUCAGAUUUGGUAGUUGGUGGGGUAAAGGCUCACCAAGCCAACGAUCUGUAGCUGGUCUGAGAGGACGACCAGCCACACUGGGACUGAGACACGGCCCAGACUCCUACGGGAGGCAGCAGUGGGGAAUUUUGGACAAUGGGCGCAAGCCUGAUCCAGCAAUGCCGCGUGCAGGAAGAAGGCCUUCGGGUUGUAAACUGCUUUUGUACGGAACGAAACGGCUCUGGUUAAUACCCGGGGCUAAUGACGGUACCGUAAGAAUAAGCACCGGCUAACUACGUG
rnacentral:rRNA from 1 species